CGCAGAUCUGUGUAGCAGAAAAAUACCACAUGUCAACCAAGUACAGUUGCAAGAAUCGUUGUAGUGAAUAUUGCUCGAAUGGAACGACCUGCAUCAUUAACUAUAGGAGUCUCGUCCACGAAUGUAUAGACCCUUGUGUACCCAAUCCGUGUUCAAGUGGAAAUACCUGUGUUAAAAAAAACGCUGCUCCAUUCUA